rnacentral:misc_RNA from 1 species
GGAAGGUGAAGGAUGUGAUCGGGAAGCCGAGCUCCUGGAGCUUCUGGAGAGAUAAUUCCCUUGGGAAGUUUGCGAUCUCUCAUCGAAUUCUCCGCGGCGAUAGCUUGGCUAGUCUAGCCGUCAAGUAUUCUGUUCAGGUUACAGACAUAAAACGUCUGAACAACAUGAUGAGCGACCAUGGGAUAUACUCGAGAGAAAGAUUGUUAAUCCCCAUUGGCAAUCCCAAGAUACUCAUUAACAGUAUAUGCUACAUCGAGAUGGAUGCUAUCGCAAAACGGGAAGUUGUGGUGAUGUAUUU